UAGAACAAUGCUGGAAUACACAGAGCAGUUGUUCUGUAGAUACACCCAUUGUCUCUGUAACUGAAGUUCCAAGCAGAGCACUGUCACAAGCAUAUUUAUGACAUAAUCCUCCUGGUCCACACACAGAGAGUACUAUGAACCUAUCGUAUACCUUGUUGUUCUUUUUUGGCAUUAACUUUGCUCUUAUUUCUCAAUUGAUAAAGGGGUUGAUGGUUUCCUGGCUAGACAUGGUAGAUGUCUGAAUCCUGUAAGACAACUGGAACCAAUUUAUCACUGGGCAGAAGCAUCUUCUACUAAUGGAAAUGGCAGAUGUCCAGCCUACCCUUCCAGGAAUGCUCUGGGCAUGGUUUGACACAGGAUACCUGCCAAGGAGUACCAAAAACAAGUCUCAGUGGAUCAGAAGCUCCUGAGAAGCUGAUGUCCUUAGAUUCCAUGUGUUCUUUCCCACAUCUGAUAUCAAUCAACAGAAGAAUUGAACUGGAGCCACCAAAACAUCAAGGUGCCCUCUAA
ensembl:lncRNA